UACAGAGGGGGCAAGCGUUAUUCGGAAUUAUUGGGCGUAAAGGGCGCGUAGGCGGCGAUUCAAGUGACGGGUGAAAUCCCUCGGCUUAACCGAGGAACUGCCUGUCAGACUGGAUUGCUUGAGGCCGGGAGAGGCGAGUGGAAUUCCCAGUGUAGCGGUGAAAUGCGUAGAUAUUGGGAGGAACACCAGUGGCGAAGGCGGCUCGCUGGACCGGUUUUGACGCUGAGGCGCGAAAGCGUGAGGAGCAAACAGG
rnacentral:rRNA from 1 species